CAGGGUCUUGGUGUUUAUGCGGCGAUAGUUCUUUGGAUUCUAGAGAUGUUCUCGAUUUCCAUUUUUGUGGUAACAUCCCCAUUUCUAGUUUCUUUGUUUUUCUUUCUUUUCUGAUGAUGUUCUUGAUUUCUCGUUAGGUUUUGAUGUUAAACUGUGAUUUCCCUGUUAUUUUAUGCGCUAACUGCAAUCUUCCAGGGUUUAAUUUUGUGAUCGUCUAGAUCUGGAUACUCUUCUAAGUGAU
rnacentral:lncRNA from 1 species